UACAGAGGGUGCGAGCGUUGUUCGGAAUUAUUGGGCGUAAAGAGCUCGUAGGCGGCCUGUCGCGUCGGAUGUGAAAGCCCGGGGCUUAACCCCGGGUCUGCAUUCGAUACGGGCAGGCUAGAGUGUGGUAGGGGAGAUCGAAUUCCUGGUGUAGCGGUGAAAUGCGCAGAUAUCAGGAGGAACACCGGUGGCGAAGGCGGAUCUCUGGGCCAUUACUGACGCUGAGGAGCGAAAGCGUGGGGGAGCGAACAGG
rnacentral:rRNA from 1 species